rnacentral:rRNA from 1 species
UACGGAGGGUGCAAGCGUUGUCCGGAUUUAUUGGGUUUAAAGGGUGCGUAGGUGGGUUUGUAAGUCUGGUUUGAAAGUUGGUCGCUUAACGAUCAAGGGUGGCUGGAUACUGCAGAUCUUGAAUGUUGUGGAGGUAGCCGGAAUGGGUUGUGUAGCGGUGAAAUGCAUAGAGAUGACCCGGAACACCAAUUGCGAAGGCAGGCUACUACGCAAUGAUUGACACUGAGGCACGAGAGCAUGGGGAGCAAACAGG